rnacentral:rRNA from 1 species
AGAGUUUGAUCCUGGCUCAGGACGAACGCUGGCGGCGUGCUUAACACAUGCAAGUCGAACGAGGUCCAUGGAGUAGCAAUACUCCGGAAGACCUAGUGGCGAACGGGUGCGUAACACGUGAGAAACCAACCCCGGUCUCUGGGAUAACAGGUGGAAACGCCUGCUAAUACCGGAUGCCGUCGUUUCCUCGCAUGGGGAGAUGACGAAAGGGCUACCGGAUCGGGACGGUCUCGCGGCCUAUCAGCUUGUUGGAGAGGUAACGGCUCACCAAGGCAUCGACGGGUAGCUGGUCUGAGAGGAUGAUCAGCCACACUGGGACUGAGACACGGCCCAGACUCCUACGGGAGGCAGCAGUGGGGAAUCUUGCGCAAUGGGCGAAAGCCUGACGCAGCAACGCCGCGUGCGGGAUGAAGGCCCUCGGGUUGUAAACCGCUUUUACCAGGAAGGAAACUGACAGUACCUGGAGAAUGAGGUGCGGCCAACUACGUGCCAGCAGCCGCGGUGACACGUAGGCACCAAGCGUUGUCCGGAUUUAUUGGGCGUAAAGAGCUCGUAGGCGGUUCAGUAAGUCGGGUGUGAAAACUCUGGGCUUAACCCAGAGACGCCACCCGAUACUGCUGUGACUUGAGUCCGGUAGGGGAGUGGGGAAUUCCUGGUGUAGCGGUGAAAUGCGCAGAUAUCAGGAGGAACACCAAUGGCGAAGGCACCACUCUGGGCCGAGACUGACGCUGAGGAGCGAAAGCGUGGGUAGCAAACAGGAUUAGAUACCCUGGUAGUCCACGCCGUAAACGGUGGGCACUAGGUGUGGGUUCCAACCAACGGGAUCCGCGCCGUCGCUAACGCAUUAAGUGCCCCGCCUGGGGAGUACGGCCGCAAGGUUAAAACUCAAAGGAAUUGACGG